CAAUUUAAAAUUUCCUGUAGAAACUGGAAGAUGGUCUGGAAUACCAAAAAAUGCGCGAAUUUGUCAUCUCUGUGGAAAUGGUAUAGGAGAUGAAUUUCAUUAUCUUUUCAAAUGUCAAAAACAGGAAAUAAAACUGCUUAGAAACAAAUAUAUACCACAAUAUUAUACUGCAAAUCCAACGGAGUACAAAUUAAUACAGCUUUUAACAUUCUGUCAUGUAGAACUUUACAAAAACUUAG
rnacentral:lncRNA from 1 species